rnacentral:rRNA from 1 species
GCCAGCAGCCAUAUCACCCUGCAACUUAAAACUGGCAACCCACUGAAGCUAAGCAGGUGUGAGCCUGGUCAGUACCUGGAUGGGAGCCUGGGAAAGCUAAGGUUGCUGCUGGAA